rnacentral:lncRNA from 1 species
CUGCCCAAGCACCUGGCCCUGGGCGACCAGAACCCGCUGGUGCUGCCUAGCGCCUUGUUCCAGCUCAUCGACCCCUGGAAGUUCCAGCGCAUGAAGAAGGUGGGCACAGCUCAGACCAAGAUCCAGCUCCUGCUGCUCGGGGACCUGUUGGAACAGCUCGAUCAUGGCCGUGCUGAGCUGGACGCCCUGCUCCGGUCUCCUAGCCCCCGCCCCUCCUCGCCACCCCCAUCACCGUGACCGGGCUCCGGCCUUCCUUACCCACCUCCCUGGCUUGGGGGGCUCCCUCAGGGAAUGACACUCCUAGGCCGUGAUGUCUCCCACCAUCCCCUGCCCAGCCUCUAGUGCUCAUCAGCACGCCCGCCCGAGGAGGCAGCAGCACCACCGGGGAUCCCUGGCUGUGAGCAGCUCAGCCGUGCCCCUCCGUGCCCCGCCCCACCUUUUGUUCCUCAAGGGCCUUCCCGGCCCUGAGCUCCCUCUCUCCUCCAGGAUCAGCUGCUUUUGCUAGGCGUCCAGCCCCUGCGUCCCCUCACCGCUCACCUUCAGGGCCGCAGCUGCCCCUUCCUCCCAGAAGCCUUCCCUGGCUGCAGGCUGGUGAGGUCCCCAAGUCCCCCUUCCUAGAGGCGCCUUCUCAUCCUCUCUGCAGGCGCUUCUCAAGCUAUUGCAGAACUACUCUUAUGAUGGCCCAAGAAUAGACAUGGUCUUCAGGGCAGGGCCCGUGCAGCACACCAAGGGGGCCACAGUCCUGGAGACUCCAUGCUCCGCCCCUCCCUCCACAGACGCCCAGAACCUCUUUUCCCACAGUGACCAUAGCCCCCGCGACCAUCUGACCCCCGAGCUGGCUCUGGGAGGCCACAGGAGCCCCUGUGGACGCAGCCACAAAUGGGCCAGGUGUGGAGGGACCCCAGUCCACAGCGGCCAGGGGGUCCUGGGGAGCAGCUUUAAAAGUGGGACCAGCAGGACAGUCAAGCCUGGUGGCCUCAGGGACUUUGGACCUGGCCAGCCUGGUGACACCGGAGCAGCUCUGGAGCUGUGGCCUGUCCCCACCACA